UUGUCUUGUUGUAUUUUGUGUAAUUUUUUUUUGUUUCAUUGAAAUAUCAUUGUGGUUGUUGUAUUAUUUUGAUUUAAUUUUUUGUACGAUAGUUUAGUUGUACCGUGGGGGUUAGGAAUAUGAAUGUUUUUUAAGAAGCUGAUUUUGUUUGUUGUACCUUGUGUAUCAGGGUCCAUUGAAUUUUAUUAUUUAUUUUUAUUUCCCGAUUUUAAAGGAGUUAAUGAUUUAUGUUAGUUACUGUUUUAUAAGUAUUAAUAAUAGGUUGUUGGUAGUGAAAUGUUAAUCGUCUUUAGUGGUUUCUGGUUUUUCAAGAAAUGAAUUUAAUUCAUACAUCUUAUUUAAUUUCUGUUAUUUUUUUAUAAUUUUUAUUUGAUGUUAAGAUUGAGGGGGAUUAGCUCCUUGUUUUAUUUUUAUAAUUGGUUAUGUUAGAUUUAGUUUUGUGGAUUUUAUAGUGAUUUUCGAUUUGAUUAUGUUAAAAUUUUAUUUAUUCUUUUGUGUAUUUUCUGUAAUUUAAGUUAUUUAUUGAAAUGUUUUCUUUAUCUUUGGUUUGUAUAAAAAUUAUUGUGUAAUUAGUAAAUUUGUUUAUUAUGUUNNNNNNNNNNNNNNNNNNNNCGAUCUAACGGUCCGGCUGAAGGGCCGCGGUAUUUUGACCGUGCAAAGGUAGCAUAAUCAUUAGUUCUUUAAUUGUGAUCUGGUAUGAAUGGCUUGACGAGACACGAGCUGUCUUAGGUUGAUUGUUUUUUGAAUUUGGGGUUUGAGUUAAAAUACUUAGAUGUUUUUAUGGGACGAGAAGACCCUAUAGAGUUUAACACUUUUCUUGUUGUCGUGUAAUUCGUUUGUUUGAUUUGUUUAUAAUGGGUUGUGUGUUUUGUUGGGGUGAUGAGAGGGAUAAUUUAACUCCUCUUUUCUGUUGAUAUAUUUAUUUAUGUUUUCAUUGAUCCAUUUAUUUUGAUUAUAAGAUUAAAUUACCUUAGGGAUAACAGCGUUAUCUUCCUUGAGAGUUCUUAUUGGCGGGGAGGUUUGCGACCUCGAUGUUGGAUUAAGGUUAAUUUUCGGUGCAGGAGCUGAAGUGAUUGGGUCUGUUCGACCUUUAAAAUCUUACAUGAUCUGAGUUCAAACCGGCGUGAGCCAGGUUGGUUUCUAUCUAUAAUAGCGUUUUAUAUCUUAGUACGAGAGGACCGGGUAU
rnacentral:rRNA from 1 species